UACGAAGGGGGCUAGCGUUGUUCGGAAUUACUGGGCGUAAAGCGCACGCAGGCGGAUUGAUAAGUCGGGGGUGAAAUCCCGGGGCUCAACCUCGGAAUUGCCUUCGAUACUGUUAGUCUUGAGUCCGGGAGAGGUGAGUGGAAUUCCUAGUGUAGAGGUGAAAUUCGUAGAUAUUAGGAAGAACACCAGUGGCGAAGGCGGCUCACUGGCCCGGUACUGACGCUCAUGUGCGAAAGCAUGGGGAGCAAACAGG
rnacentral:rRNA from 1 species